rnacentral:rRNA from 1 species
UGCGUAGGCGGAAUAUUAAGUCAGUGGUGAAAUCCCAGAGCUCAACUCUGGAACUGCCAUUGAAACUGGUAUUCUUGAAUAUAGUUGAGGUAGGCGGAAUGUGUAAUGUAGCGGUGAAAUGCUUAGAUAUUACACAGAACACCGAUUGCGAAGGCAGCUUACUAAACUAUGAUUGACGCUGAGGUACGAAAGCGUGGGGAGCGAACAGGAUUAGAUACCCUGGUAGUCC